rnacentral:lncRNA from 1 species
AUUGCUUGACAAAACCACAACACUUUUAUCAUCUCCAAAAAUCAAGAUGCAUACAUAGAAUGAAAAAGGUACGUAUAUAUCCCAAAAUUAUGAUAAAUGAUACAUAUAUACCAUUUGUUAUACUUUACGUAUAUAUAUAUACUUGCAGUUAAAGUUUAGGACUGUAUAUACCCCUUACUCUAACAGAGGAACACAUGUCCAAAUCCUAAUGACUAACCAAUUUUUUAAUUUUUUUAAACCUAAAUAAUUAAAUUACCAAAUUAGAUCCCACACCGACCUAGACCCAACCCGAUCCAUGGAGUAUUUAGGAAACCCCAGAAAAACUCACGCAUCUCUCUCACUGUCUCUUUCUAUAAAAAAAUCUUAAUGAAGUAUCAUCAAAUCCAUGUAUGUUUCUUCUCCCUUUCAAUUACUUAUUUUCUUGUUCAGAAAAAUCAUUUUCUUGUUCUAAAAAAUUAUAAUAGACUGGGUGCUAUUUUUGGAUCCAUCGGAACAUUGAAGUUUCUAAAGAAUCAUCUUUAGGUCCAAAUUUAGGGGUUUGUUGUUGAUUCUGUGGGAAAAUGUCUUGGUCCAAAUAAACAAUUUGAAGGCUAAACGGUGAACAUGGACACUUUGAGAGAUUUAUUGAAUGCGGUUAACAUCAAAUGAGACGAGUUAAUAGACUGGAAAAUGGGUCAUUGAAUGCUUGUAGACUGGAAAAUUACAGAGAUUGAUUCUUUCUGCAGAAACUUAAAGAUGUGAAUUCGACGGAGCAUUAGGAUGAUACUCUAAUAUGGAGGGCUAAUAGUGAUGGGUUUUUUCCUGUCAUCUUUGUUAUAACUUGUUGCAGGAGUAGUUCAAGUGUAGGCUUGAUUACCAGGUGCUGCAAUCAUAGUAAAAGCUGCGACACAUGAUGAUGAUCUUAUUAGAUUAUAAAAUAACAUUUCAACGUCCACUUGGUCCCAAAAGGCACUUAUAUGUAAUCAAAGCUACCAAGUUCUCACCAUUGCUGGCAUUAUGUUUCUUAGGUUUAUAUUUCUUUAAUUAAGCUUGAGUUGAAUACUUUAGUGGAAACUAUAUUUAGUUUUUCUUUUGCACUUGGAAAUAAUGUUUCUGAUGAACUAUUGAAGGCAUUAUGAUGUGAUUCUGGACAUCCUCAAACCUGUCACCAGAAAAAAUAAGCUACUUGUAAAGUUACCAUGUCAAAUGUCAAUUAUGUUACAUAUUUUUAUGGAAUAUUUUUUUUUUCAUUUCA